CAUUACAAGUUUUGAGAUUUUUCAUCUCUAUACAUCCUUCAUCACGACUCGGCCUUCGCGGGCCGAGCUUGUGGCUGCUAAAUGUAGUUAGAGUAUUGGUGUGGAUACUGACGGUGCGAAGAGCGCUGUCCUAUCCAAUGCUCGACCAAGCGAUGUGCUUAGGUUGCUAGCCAAUGCUUGGGCAUAGGUCCUGCUCGGAGGCCCCAUCUGGGGCUGACCUGUUGCUUCCAAGUAGUGGUGUCUUGAUUCGUACGGCUAGUGUCCGUCGAGCCAUAGUCUACACCCGGCUAGCCAACUUAACUCAUCAUUGCUACCAAACGCGAACAAACAAAUGUAGUCCUGUUCACAGUGACUGCGUGUAAACAACAACAAACUAAAAACAAAAUAUAAUAAGACAACAAUCACAAUUAACGGUGGAUCACUUGGGUCGUAGAUCGAUGAAGAACGCAGCUAGACUGCGAUAGGCGGCGCGAACUGCAGAAUUAACUGAGCGCCUGGUAUUCGAACGCAUAUUGCGGCUUUGGUUAGCAAUAACUAGAGCCUUGCCUGUAUGAGGGUCGGUUAGAACUUCUAAAACUCUGGUUUGUAUGUCCAGCUGGGUAAAACUAGCUCAUAACAAACGUUACACAGAGAUGGUUGUCUGGCUCGUGAGAGUUCCUUGGACAGCAUAGAAGGCCGGGUCUUGUGAUGGUGCCGGACACCAGCACAUCCUGGCUCCUAUUGGAAACAGUCACUUUACUAGCUAGACUUGGACCGCGACGCAUCGGUUGACUCGCGUGCAAGUUCGAGAUUCGUCUUGUCUUGAGCACAACCAGCGACGAUUGGACUCCAAUCUAACUAUAUAGUAUUUAACACAUCGACCUCAUAUCAGACAAGAGCACCCGCUAAAUUUAAGCAUAUUAUUAAGCGGAGGAAAAGAAAGCAAAAGCGAUUCCCCAAGUAACGGCGAGUGAACAGGGACAAGCCUAGCGCUAAGGCUCGACGGGAUGGUCAGCAGCAAUGUUGGUCGUCUUUAUCCGAUGAGGCCGUCGAGCGGUGCAGCGUUACAAACCGCGAUGUUUAGUGUGACCAUUGGUGAUGGUUGGCAACAACCACCACCCUCAGCCUACCACGCAAGUUCCAUUGACUUGGACUAAUUGCAAAUGACUAUCCACUUGGGGCAACUUGAGUGGUUUAGUUGAGCCAGAGCGGGUGUAAGCCCCAUACUGUGCAGGCAUUGGUUACACGAUUCGUGGCAUGGCGCCCGCAAGGGUGUCAGAUUGUUAGAGUCGAGUUGCUUGAGAGUGCAACUUAAAGUGCGAGGUAAACUACU
rnacentral:rRNA from 1 species